GGGGUUGUGGCUUAGAGGUAGAGCGCUCGCCUGGCAUGUGCGAGGCCCUGGGUUCGAUCCUCAGCACCGCA
rnacentral:tRNA from 1 species